UUCCUGGUGGUCUAGUGGUUAAGACUCUGUAUUUCUGCUGCAGGGGGCUUGGGUUUGAUCCCUGGCUAGGGAA
rnacentral:tRNA from 1 species